AUAUAUAUAUCUACUACUUCUAAUAAAGCAAAAUAAUUUUAAGCUAUUUGUCAUAGUUUUAACCUAUUACUUGCCACUUGGCAAUUGACUAAUCCAUUUUUGUUUCUAAUGACCGCCAAAACCAAGAAUCCUCACUUUUCUUUUAUUUUCCUUUUUCUUUCUCUAACCUAAUUAAUUCACCACCGUUUCACAAAGAAAUCUCUUCAUCUUCACUCCAAUCAUCUUCCCAAAAUACAUUUGGUUUCCUUACAUAAGAAUGAAAAUCGCUGGAUCUAAAUUCGAUUGUUCUGCUUCUUCAUCGACGCAUACUUUUUCUUUUAUCGGCGAUUCAUAGAAGAUUCUGAAAUCGAUAUACAAAUCCGUAAGUUGUUUAUGUUAAAUUUCUUCUUUAAUCAUUAUUUUGUGUAUUUACUAUGGGUGAUAGUUCAUCAAGGUAUUUUUGUAUUCAUUUUACUUAUUUUGUUGCAAUAA
rnacentral:lncRNA from 1 species